CUGAAGGGUGUGAAUGUAUGCCGGCGGAUUUCCCUCUGACCGAGCCUUUGUGUGUAAUUACACAUGCACUGCAGCACCUCUCCUGGCUGCAACACCACUAGCUUUCCCUCCUUAACCCUCCUAUUGUCUUCAUUUACAGGUACCAAAAAAUAUUGUUUCCUUGUCUGAAAAAAAUCCAAAAAUUCAGCAAAAAAAAUCCCCAAAUUUCUGAAAAUUUGCAAAAACCUUCAGGAAGAAAAUUACAAUAAUUCCUUUUUAACAUUUCUUUUUUCACACACACACACACACACACACACACACACACAAUAUUGCUUGUGAUGUGCACUAAUGGCCACAAUAUGUUGAGAACAGGCUACAAAGAAUGAAAGUACCCCUGCUGUGGUGUUGCUUCAACACUGCACUCAUGUAGGAUUCACAUCAAUAGAUGACAUUUAUCACAAUACAGUCAAGUCUGAAUGGUGGAUCUGAUGUCAUGGUAACCGGAGGAGAGCGUUGGAAGUCCUACGCCCACAGGUUCAUGAGUGGAACACACACAAACAGCUUAGAGUCAGUCUGUUUCCGUCAGCUAAAGAAGAACAGAUGUUUCAUUUAGGGACUAAAAGGAGCAUGAUCGAUCCGUAACAGUCCCAGGGCACGACGGAAUCCACUGUGGGGCUGCAGUCGGGGACUCAUUGUUAGAUUCCACUCAGAGUGAAGUUUUAGUGUCUCCCUAUGAAGUGGAAACAAAAGGAUCUCAUUUUGCGAAGCUGGAUAUUUCCUUUGGGGGCAAGUCAGCUCUGUGGGCAGAGGAGCGUAGCAGAGGCAGCUGUGUUGCACAUCACAACUUUAAACCCAAACUUACACAAGGUUUUAAGCAUUACAAGUAAGGGGUGAUUAGAAAAAUACUUUAAAAUAAUGUCAUGAAUAGUUUCUGUUUAUCACUUAGAAGUGAAUUAAAUCUGAACUAGGUAUAGCAACCAUUUGUCUUUCAAUCAUGAUAGAUUUUUAAAGUUACUUGGCAGGUAGGAUCUGAAGAACUCGCCACAGUUCAUCUCUGGAUUUAAGCGGUUUCUAUAGUCAUGUUUAUAUACAACUGGCAAGUGAAUUUGAAGGAAAGCUGCAAAAAAGUAAAAGUAAAUUAGACUUGCGCACCAUCACUGACCUGGGUCUUUUCAAAUCACAGCUCAAAACCUUCCUGUUUGAAAUGGCUUUUCAUACCUAGCGGCAUGGUGACAUUUUAUUACUUUUAUUUCAUUUAGAUGUAUAUUUUAGUGCUGUUUUAUCGCUGUUUAUUGUUUUAUUGGGGCUGCACGGUGGCUUAGUGGUUAGCACUUUCGUCUUGCAGCUAGAAGAUCCCCGGUUCGUGUCCUGGCCUUCCUGGGAUCUUUCUGCAUGGAGUUUGCAUGUUCUCCCUGUGGAUGUGUGGGUUUCCUCCAGGUUCUGCCGCUUCCUCCCACAAUCCAAAAAUAUGCUGAGGUUAAUUGAUUAUUCUAAAUUUGUCCCUAGGUGUGAGUGUGAUUGUUUGUCCUGUUUUAAGUUACUGUGUUGUUUUUAAUGUUGUUUUUCUGGUUUUCUACUGUGAAGCACUUUGGUCACCCUUUGGGCUGUUGUAAAGGGCCAUAGAAAUGAACUUUGAUUGGUUGAUUUUUUCCAUUAACUGUUUUGGAGUGGAAGAAAUAUGCAGCUUAGUGAUAGUUUACGCUGUCUUCCACAUAGCUGUAAUAGACAAAGUAGAGGAACUAGUUGUUUGCCUUCCAGAAGAAAUAGCAAACUUUGUCCAUCUACGAGAGAAAAAGGAGAAGUCUUUAGUAAUUGUAUUCAGCUGCAAGUUAAUUUAAACACAAGACACCUGAGCUCCAAACAAGAAAGAUGUGCACUCAAUGAAGCACCGAGGAUCCCUGACCCAUCACUAUACACACCAGUGAUUCCUAACACAUCUCUGGGGGUCAUCAGGUGGAAACCUCCCUUCAACGGUGUUUUGCCUAUUUAAUCCCACAACACCUCCAGGAGGCUAGGAUGAACUCUUUCAGAAACUUUUUUCCAAAAUUGAAAUGUAUUUCUUCAAAAUGUGAACAAAACUAAGUCAUGGAAACAUGGCUUAUGUUUUCAACCUCUUCAUUUAAUCCCAGACUGAUUCCCUGAUGCUGAGAACAGCAUCUGUUGCAGGAAGAUUCCUUCUAGCUUUCACUGCAUAUUGGAGGUCAUUUCAAUACUGCAGCAUGAAUUUAGGUCCAAUCAGAUACUUUCCUGAUGAUAAUGUUAGAUGGAUGAAAAUCUAGACAUUUAAAGGCCCUACAAAUUGUUCUAUAAUUAUUGUCAGGCUGCAAUAAUCUCUAAAAGAACCUUUUCUCUUGAUGAUAAAACGUGAAUUUCAAGAUUCUAAAUGUGAGUAUUUGCUGCUUUUAAGGAUUUUAUACGGCUGAAUUAAUACUUUGGGAGCUAGCGGUUUACAGAGACUACAUUUAGAGCUGAGAUCCUCUAUUUAGGUCAUCUUCACUAGUUUUGGUGAUUUAAUACACUAAGAAUAAUGUAGAAAAAUCGAUUAUAAAAAAUGGUGUCUCAAAAUUACACUCGAUCACAGUCCCAUUUAGAGCUUUUGGUGCCUCACAAUUCUGAAAGAAUUAGAAAUUUUGGAGCUGAAUCCCUCAUCAUCACCAACUUCUAUUCAUCAUCCUCAUCUUUUGAGGUUUCUCUGUAUUUUUUUCCGUUUCUUUUCAGAUAUUUUUAUAACAUGAAGAUGCCACAGAUACAAAUUGCAUAAUCCUCACGCACACAUUUUUUAAAAAUAUACUUACAUUGUAACACUACAGUUCAAUCGUAAUAAUACUGAAUCACAUGAAGAUAGGAUUGGAGAGAAGAAAGGAUACAGUCUUCCUUUAUUAGACCCAUUUAGUGAACUUUUUUGCGGCACACUACUCAUCAAAGGUUUUAGAACACCCCAAAGCUUUUUAUUGGAAAUUAUGCAUGUUAAUGUCUCAUUGUACUCUGAAAUGAAAGCAUAGAACAAUAAACGUAUGAUGUUAUAAAAAAAAAAAAUCACUUUAGAAACCAAAAUGUAUCAUCAAAGUAGCCACCUUUGGCAGAUAUAACUGCUGAACACACUCGUAUUAUUAUUAUAAUAGUCUUCAGGAAGUUCUUCCCAACUCUGUUGCAGAAGUUCCCAUAAAUGUGUGGUUCUUGUACGUUGCUUUGCUUUCACUCUUCUGUCCAGUUCAUCCCAAACCAGCUCCAUGGGAUUUAAGUCUGGAGACUGUGCUGCCACUCCAUGUUUUCAAACAUCUUGUUCUGUUUUCCUAAGCUAGUUCUGGUAGCGUGGACUUUGGGUCGUUAUCUAGCUGACGGAUGAACCCCUGACCAGCUAGGAACAUACCAGAGGGUUCUACAUGGUGCUGCAGAAUACUGUGGUAGUCGUUUAGGUUCAGGGUUCCUCUCACUCUGUACAAGUCACUGACCCUGGAUCCAGUAAAACAGCCUCAGACCGUCAUGCUUCCUCCUCCAUGUUUGACAAUUGAUGUCCCACACUGAGGAACCAUCCUUUCUCAUACUGGACGGCUACAAAAAUCCUGCUGAUGAACCAAAGAUUUCAAAUUUUGAUCCAUCAGUCCAUAACACCUUCUUCCAGUCUUCAGUAGUCCAUUGGUGGAGUUUUAUGGUCCAGGGAAGCCUCUUUUUCUUAUUCUGAUGUCUUAGUAAUGGCUUUCUUUCUGAAACUCCACCUGUCAAACCUGCAACUCUGAGUCUUCUCUUCACAGUUGAAACUGAGACUUCUUACUGCGAUCACUAUGAAGCUGUGCUGGAAACUGUUGACUCACAGAAACUUGUCUUCUGAUUCUGCGGUGGCUCAGGCGUCCUGCGGGCCGGAUUGCACCCUCAUGAGGGCCGCUUUGGCCCAUGGGCCACAUGUUUGACACCCCUGUUCUAUACUUUAUGAGAUGGAAACAAAUUACAUUGUUUUUGUUACUGUGAACUGAUCACUGUCUAGUUUUUGAUCAGUAUCAGUUAUGACACACUGAGAAUCACACAAUAACUGCAGCCUUUCUCUCCUGCUUCUCCUU